GCACAGGGCUGGGAGGCACCCAGUCUCUCCUCCUUCGUUCCCCUGGGCUCCGUGUCUUCGAGGAAGCAACACCAGUAGCUCGGACCUGGGCGGACUUUCAGGGAACAUGCAGCCAGUCCUGCUCUCAUUGGCCUUUCUUCUGUCCCCUAGGCUGGGAUGGGUAAGUGACAAUCCCCAUUCCUGAGGCCUGAGCCCCUCUCACCAACCCCCCUGUACUCCUGACCCCUCUGCUCCACUCCGAUUUCUGCCCCCAGCUCCCAUCCCAAACCCCAAGUUCCAAGCUGCAGAGACACUCAGCGGGGAGGGAUGGCAGGAAGGACAGGGCUUCACCAGCGCUUUGGUGGCUCUUAGCCUGGGACCUCUGGGAAGGUGGGCUGUGUGCUUGGCAGAGGAUGGGAAGCUACCGAAACAAGCUACUAAAACCCCUCCUUCCAACCCAGGAAAGGGCAGCUCAGGUGGACCCACUUCAGUGUGGGGGUUGUCAGUGGACCGAGCUCAAGCACCGGUGGCAUUUCUCCAUGUCCUCUACUCCUCAGUGCUGCCCAGGAGAGGAGCCCAGGGCCUGGGGUGCUGCUCAGAAGAGGCUAGAUGACAGCACCCAAAGCUCUCCGGGUGCCUUGGCUCUGCCCCCAGGCCCCAAGUAGCCCACUUUCAGCGCCACUGGCCCUGCCUCCCAGGCCCUCAGCUGCCCCACUGUCUCUGGCAGUGCCCUUCCCCAUGCCCGUGGUCUUGAAUCCCACCAGUGCCAUCCUCACCAAACCUCAGCGCAAAGCGAAUCAGAGGCCAUUCACUCAUGCACCAAAAGAUGUUACCUGAAAUCCUAGGAUGUGUUAGGCCCUGGGAGGGGAGGAUUUUAGAAAACCCAACUCCAUAAGCUCACAAUGCAAACUCAGUUAAUUUCACGUAUUGCCUGAGAAAGCUCCCAGAAGCCCUUCCCUCAGUCAUUGAGAAGUACAGGCCACAGAGUCACUCAGCCCCAGGACCAUCUGUCACCUCAAUUUCCCCUCAGCUGCAGCCCUGCCCUGUGUCACCUGCCCUUCACAGCUCCUGGGCUGUAUCUCCUGCGACUCCAUGCUCCCCACACCCGCCUCUGCUCUCUGCAGCUCAAUCAACUUCACCCUGGGGGCCCACAACAUCAAGAAGCUGGAGAGAACACAGCAGGGUCAAGAUUAUUUUCCACGUAGGAGGUCUGUGUCAUUAUAGGACAUCGUAGACACAUUAUUCUAGCACCACUUAUUGAGAAAAAAAGAGAAUCAUUUUUUCCCCCACUCUCUGCCAUGAAACCUCCAUCAUAAAUCAAGUGAUCACUAUGUGCCUAUCAGUGUCCAAAUGUGUGUGGGAUCUUCUGUGUCUGGUCCACUAGUGUGUGUCUCUAUGCCCCCAUCAGCACCACACUAUCUUCAUUAUAAUUACUAACUUCAUUUGCUAAAGCAAGACCUCCCACUUUAUUCCUGUUCUUCAAGACUGUCUUGGCUAUGGUUCGCCACUGGUUUUUCCAUGUCUAUUUAGAAUCUCAAGUUCUAUGAAACACCUCUUGGGUGCAAUGAAUCUAUAGAUCAUUUUUUGGAGAAUUGACAUUUACAAAUUUUUUUCUCUUCCAAACACCAGCAUGAAAUAUCUAUUUAUGUUUAGGUCUUAAAUGUUUCUUAAUACCAUGUUGUAACUUUUGUUAUUAAAAAAAAAAAGAUGUGCAAAAAGAUGUCUUGCACAUCUUUUUUUAAGACUUUUAUUUAGUUAUUUGGUUAAUACGACUAAUGUUUAUUUUUUUAUUUUUUGUCUUUUUGCCUUUUCUAGGGCCACUCCUGCAGCAUAUGGAGGUUCCCAGGCUAGGGGUCUAAUUGGAACUGUUGUUGCUGGCCUGCACCACAGCUCACAGCAACGCCAGAUCCUUAACACACUGAGCAAGGCCAGGGAUUGAACAUGCAACCUCAUGGUUCCUGUUAACCACUGAGCCACUAAGGGAACCCCAUCCUAACAUGACUAAUGUUUAAAUUGAUGUUAUGCCCAGCAAAUUGUCAAACUGUCUUGUUGGUUGUAGAAAUUUAUCUGCAGGUUUUAGGCAUUCUCUAUGGACACUAUGGUAUCUCAAAUAUUCACAGUUUUAUUUCCACUUUCUCUGUCCUUAUACCUCUUUCUUCUAUUUCCUUCUUAACUGUACUGGUGAAAAUCUUCAGUAUAAUGUUAAAGAGAAAUGAUGAUUUUGUUUAUCCAUAUGGCCUUGUGUUCUUUUACUCUCAAACAAAAAAACAUUCUACAUUUCAUCAUUAAGUAUGAUGAUUGCUGUGGGAUAUUUGCAGAGACCUUUUAUCAGAACAAAGGCACUCUUUUCUACUCCUUGUUUGCUAAUAAUUUUUUUGAAAUGAAUGAGGGUAAAUUUUGACAUAUGCUUUUUUUUUGCUUUAAUUGAAUUAUCAUACAGAGUUUCUUCUUUCAUCGGUAUGUUGUAUUAUAACAAUUGAGUUUUGAAUGAAAAACCAUCCAUCCUAGGAUAAACACAAAUUAGAAAUAAUGUAAUAUUUUUGUUUAUUGACUGAUUUGGCUUACAUCAAUAUUCAAAUAAUAUUAGCCUGCAAUGUUCUUUUCCCAUAUUGUCUUCAUUGGGUUUAGCAUCAAAUUUCUCUAGUCUCAUAAAGGAGUUGGGUAGCAUCUGUUCUCCAGGAGAAAUCAUAUAGUGUUCGUUUUUUUUUUUUCUUUUUAGGGCCACACCUACAGCAUAUGGAAGUUCCCAGGCUAGGAGUUGAAUCCUAGCUGUAGCUGCAGGCCUACACUACAGCCACAGCAGUGCCAGAUCCAAGCUGUGUCUGCAAUCUACAAUGUAGCUGUGGCAAUGCUGGAUCCUUUACCCACUGAGCAAGGCCAGGUAUUGAACCCGCAUCCUCACAGACUCUAUGUCAGAUUCUUAAUCCACUGAUCCACAACAGGAACUCCCAUAUGUUCUUUGAAUAUUUUUACAGAUUUCCAGUGAAGCCAUAUAAGCUUAUACCUAUCCUUGAUGGAAUAUUUUUGAAAACUGAAUCAAUUUAAUGUUUAUAGGAAAAUUCAAACUAUGUUUCAUUGUUAUAUUUUCUAGGGAUUUGUCAUAUCCAUGUAGAUUUUCAAAAUAUUGUCUUCCUGGUGACCUAUAAUAUAGAUAUUCCAGAUAUAAACAUAUAUUCUCCAGAUAUAAACCCUUUCCUAGUUAUUGUAAAUGUCUCCAACCCUGUGGUUUUACAUUUAACUAUCUCAGUAGUGCCUUUGGUAAUUAGAAUUUUUAUCUUUAUAUAUACCCAACAAAUUUUUACUGUAGAUAAAUUUAUCCAUUAUUAUUGAUGGUCAGUGUUUUUAUUUUUUCAUAUUUUUUCCCAUUAUGGUCUAUUGUAGGAUAUUGAAGAUAGUUUCCUGUGGUUAGUGCUUUUUAUAUCUUGUAUAAAAUUGUUUUCCCAAAGUUAAGUGUAUAAAGAAAUUGUGUCUUCAAAAUUUUGGAUUUUUACCUUUAUAUUAAUUUGGGGUCUAGUAUUAAAUGGUUGUUUCAUCUUUAUUCGUAUAUACACAAAAAUUAUUUUUUUGGCUGUGCCAACAGCAUGCAGAAUUCCUGGGCCAGGGAUGAAACCCAAGCCACACUAGUGACAAUGCUGGCUCCUUAACUGCUAGGUCACCAGGGAGCUCCUACACAACAAAUUUUACUAUAAAUUAUUUUCCAUCAUUAUUAAACAUUUUGAAUUCAUUUUUUAUUUCCAUUAUGAUCUUACUCAUGAUUUACAGUUGACCCUUGAAUAGCAUGGGGCUAGGGGCAUUGACUAUCCACCUAGUGGAAAGUCCAUGUAUAGCUUAGAGUCAGCCCUUUCGUUCUGCAACCAGCCAUGGAUAGUGUAGUAUUGUAGUGCUUACUACUGAAAAAAAAAAAAAAUCUGUGUGUAAGUGGAUUGUCCACUUCAAAAUGCGGUUGCCUGUCUCUCUUUCUUUCUCUCUUUAUCUCUUUCUUUCUCUUCCUCUUUUGCAACACCCACAGCAUACAGAAGUUCCCAGGCCAGGGAUUGAAUUUGUGCCACAGCAGCCAUCCAAGCUGCUGCAGUGACAGCACAGGAUCCUUAACCUGAUGAGUCACCAGGGAACUCCUAUUUCUUUAAUUUUAAAAAUAUAAGGAUAGGAGUUCCUGUUGUGGCUCAGUGAAAACAAAUCUGACUGGUAUACAUGAGGAUGCAGGUUCAGUCCCUUGCCUCACUCAGUGGGUUAAGGAUCCUGCAUUGCCGUGAGCUGUGGUAUAGGUUGCAGAUCCAGCUCUGCAGCUCGGAUCUGGCGUUGCUGUGGUGUAGGCCAGUGGCUACAGCUCCGAUUCGACCCCUAGCCUGGGAACCUCCAUAUGCUGCAGGUGU
rnacentral:lncRNA from 1 species